rnacentral:rRNA from 1 species
AUGGCGACACCGGAUCUGGCAUCUCCGGGGUCCUCUACAAGUGGGUCAACUACGGCCGCGGGUGGCGGCCCCACUGGUUCGCGCUCAGCGACGGCGUGCUCUCCUACUACAAGAUCCACGGGCCCGACCGCAUCGACCUCUCCCGCGACACCGACCGCGGCACCAAGGUCAUCGGCGAGGACUCGCUCCGCCGCCUCGCGCGCCCCUCCUCCGCAUCCGCCCCCACUCCAACGGCCACGGCCACCACCAGACGCCCCGCAAGCCCCUCGGCGAAAUCCACCUCAAGGUGUCGACCGUCAGAGAGAGCAGAUCGGACGACAUGAGGUUCUCCAUCUUCUCGGGGACCAAGAGGCUGCACCUGCGGGCCGAGACGAGGGAGGACAGGGCCGCGUGGCUCGAGGCGCUCCGUGCCACCAACGAGAUGUUCCCGAGGAUGUCCACCAGCGAGAUGGUCGGGCCGGGGGACACUGCGGCGGCCGCGGCGGUCUCCACCGAGCGCCUGAAGAAGCGCCUGCAGCAGGAAGGGGUCAGCGAUGCUGCCAUUGCUGA